GUAAGAAAUUAAUCCAGAAGGCUUGAGCAAUACCCACCACGAUGAAACAUCAACAAUGUGAGCUUUUGUGAAGGAAUCUAAAUAAAUGUAAAUAUAUAAUUAACUUUUUGCUUACUAGUACAACAUAAUAGGUAUCAUGAAACAGGAACUGGGGCUUAGUAUCCUUUAGAUAUUUUCUGAUAAGGGUUUUUUCUUAAACAAAGCUUUUGUAAGUAGUAAGUAAGGGAAGAAAGAAUACAGAGCAGGGUAAGGAAAGCCUGGCAUAGGAUAAAACAGGUAUAACAGCUUCAAGAAAUACUGCCCUCCUGUAUCCAUAGAAAUGUACAAAACAAUCCUAAAAACGAUAGGUUGGUGGUUGACUUCAUAUGGAAAAAUGGAUAGCAAGUGCAUCAUGUAGAUUGUAAGCCUGGAGUACUUAGCCAAUAGGAAACAGGAAAAUAAAAACCUGUGAUGGGAGAAAGGGGUAUAUAAUGAGAAGUGUUUCACUCGCAUGUAUGAUGUCUCUCUUACCAUAAAAGACUAUUGCAGUAACAAAAACUUUGCUGCUUCACUGAGAUCUUUGCCUGAUUGGAAAUUACUGGAGCUGAGCUUUUCUCACAAAGAGACACUGUGAGGUUCAAUCAAGCCUACUCACCAAGGAAGCAUUCUACUCCUGUCUGUGCUGCAUCUCCACUCUGCUCUCACGCUGAACACCAGCAGCCCCAUCCCGGGCUGCACACAGCACUGCACACAGCACCCCAAAUGUGUGGCUGUGGAUAAAGAUCCAGCUGCUGUGCUGUCACCCUUUAAUCGUGGA
rnacentral:lncRNA from 1 species